GAUGAACGCUGGCGGCGUGCCUAAUACAUGCAAGUCGAGCGAACAGACGAGGAGCUUGCUCCUCUGACGUUAGCGGCGGACGGGUGAGUAACACGUGGAUAACCUACCUAUAAGACUGGGAUAACUUCGGGAAACCGGAGCUAAUACCGGAUAAUAUAUUGAACCGCAUGGUUCUAUAGUGAAAGACGUUUUUUCUGUCACUUCUAGAUGGAUCCGCGCCGCAUUAGCUAGUUGGUAAGGUAACGGCUUACCAAGGCAACGAUGCGUAGCCGACCUGAGAGGGUGAUCGGCGAAACUGGAACUGAGACACGGAACAGACGCCUACGGGAGGCAGCAGUAGGGAAUAUUCCGCAAUGGGCGAAAGCAUGACGGAGCAACGCAGCGUGAGUGAUGAAGGUCUUAGGAUCGUAAAACUCUGUUAUUAGGGAAGAACAAAUGUGUAAGUAACUAUGCACGUAUUGACGGUAACUAAUCAGAAAGCAACGGCUAACUACGUG
rnacentral:rRNA from 1 species